rnacentral:rRNA from 1 species
UACGUAGGGGGCAAGCGUUGUUCGGAAUUACUGGGCGUAAAGGGCGCGUAGGCGGCACGGCAAGUCAGGAGUGAAAGCCCGGGGCUCAACCCCGGAAUGUCUUUGAACUGCCGAGCUAGAGUGCGGAAGAGGCAACUGGAAUUCCCAGUGUAGCGGUGAAAUGCGUAGAUAUUGGGAAGAACACCUGAGGCGAAGGCGGGUUGCUGGGCCGACACUGACGCUGAGGCGCGAAAGCCAGGGGAGCGAACGGG